UCUCAAUCACAACCUCGUUUCGUCAUGAGUAUUAAUUAUAAUAAGGAUCAUCGUCAUGAUAUCUACAUUUCUCCAUCUCAACCUCGACCUCAAGUUCUUAUGGGUGGUACAAGUGGUCCUCCUCUUACGUAUGGUACAUAUGAUGGAAAUAACACGCCUCAGUCAAUGCCUUCUGUGUAUC